GGAGGGCUGGCUGAGCGGCCGAAAGCGACGGUCUUGAAAACCGUUGGUGCGGUGACCCCGUACUCAAGGGUUCGAAUCCCUUGCCCUCCGCCC
rnacentral:tRNA from 2 species